UUGAAAUCAAUGAAUCCCGGAAUACUCCUUGUAAUCUUGAUAGCCAUCCUGGUCGCCAUCUUCGUCGUCGCCCUCGGUAUAUACUAUUGCCGCAAGCAGUGCAUUAUGUUGAGAUCGGCCACACGUAACACUGGGAGACAAUCACCAUUUGAAUUUAGUGAGAUGGAGCAAUGAAGUCUGAAAAGCCAAAAAGGUAUUAUGAACCAAGAACAAGAAGUGAACAGGAUUGAAAAGCGCACGAUCGAUUUAGAUCUGGAGUGUUGUCACAAGUCAAAUGUAGCGUGUGUAGCUCACUAUUAGUUUUAUAAAUAUCAUAGAUGUAUUUAGUUACACGAUCACCGUGGACUUUGUUGAUAAAGUGUAUGAAGUUGGAGCAGUUUAAUAUAACAAGCUACGAGUAGCUUAGCUUAUAAUUAUUGACAGACGUGUGUGUUAAGUUGGUGUAAUGUCAUAACAGAGAAAUAACUUGGCCUGUAAGUGUUGAGGAUGAGUGUAAAGUGUGGGUAUCAAAUAGUGUGUGGUGAAUGCAUUGUGAACUUGGGUGCGAGUAGUGAUGGUGGUUCAAUGUACUGGCCACUCAGAGGUUACUUAUACAUUCCACUAUUGCACUCUCAGUUUGCACAGUCCGAUACCUGUUAUUUUUUUGGCAGUCCGUCUAAAUUGCUAAAAUCACGGAAAGAGUUCGACCAGUACCCCUCUAUAUCAAAGGCUCUAAAGACUAACUCUAACCAUAUAACUAAAACUACCCUUUAAAAGGAAGUACGGGUCGAACUCAUGCCCAAAAUCACAUUAAAACUUUGUAUGAGCACUAAAUGUUUUGUUUGGCCUUUAAUUUUGACGAGACAUAUCAUUCUCAACUUUACUAAAAAUAAUUUCAAAUUUCACCCACCUCAAACGUACGACCCUUCUCCCUCCUGUCCUGGACUUAGUCACUGGCGAUGUCAGACGUUACGUUAAAAGAGUUCCCAUACCCAUACCCAAAGCUUAUUUGGAAAGAGAGUUUUGUACAAGUAUAAUUGCUGGAUGGAAAUACUGUGAAAUAGUUCUUUGUUUACUCUGGGUUGAUGACAACCUGAAUAUAAGAAUGUAACGACGACAGUUAUGAUGAUGAUGGUGAUGAUGAUGAUCAGUGAAUGGUCAUGAUGACGACGGCGAUGACGGUGUUCGACAGAACUCUAUCUGUAAAGUCGAAUCGAUGUAGAACGCUUCGCGGAAAAUACAAUAAAGCUAAAAAAAACAUAUAACUUGUACAAAAUCACAGAAAACAAACUAAGAUUGAUUAAUGCAAGUAAGUUAUACAAAAAGUGUUUAUCGAAAGUAGUCUGCUAAAAGUUUUAACAUUGAAAAACAAAUGCGCAAACUAAGAACAUCUGAUCCAAAAGCUUUUUACAAAAUUCUUAAACAACCUAAUGAAGAAAAUAAUUUAACACCAUUAGAUGAUUUUUAUAUCUUUUUUCAAAACGUAAACAAAAGUGAAACUGAUGAAAAUGAAAUACAACUAACUUUAAAUGAUAUAGACUCAGACAGCGAAAAUAUUUUAAAUAGAAAGAUAGAUGAAGGAGAAAUAAUAAGAGCUAUAAAACAGCUAAAAACUGGCAAGGCACACGGAAUUAAUAAUAUAAUUAACGAAUAUAUCAAAACUACUAUGGAUAUGAUGCUUCCACUCUAUACAAUCCUGUUUAAUUUAAUCCUAGACAACAGUGUCUUUCCAAAUGAAUGGUUAAUUGGGGUUAUUAAACCGAUUUUAAAAAAUAAAGGUAGUCGUUCAUUACAAGAAAACUAUAGACCAAUAACGCUGUUAUGUUGUAUCUCUAAAUUAUUCACAACAAUUUUAAAUAACCGACUGAAUAUUUUUAUUGAAGAAAACAGUAUAUUAAACGAAACCCAAACUGCUUUUCGAUAGGGUUACUCCACAACAGAUCAUCUCUUUAAUUUACAUUCACUGAUCGAAAUUUUAAAGAAAAGAUAUGACAGAACCUAUGACAUUUUUAAUACUGAACUUUGAAAAUUAGUAAUAUUUUUAUUUUAUCUGUGAUAAAGUGUAUUAAGUUAUCUGUGAUAAUGGAAUGAAAGGUGUGUAUGUAUUG
rnacentral:lncRNA from 1 species